rnacentral:rRNA from 1 species
GACGAACGCUGGCGGCGUGCCUAAUACAUGCAAGUCGAACGCAGUGGGGACGGGUGAGUAACACGUGGGUAACCUCCCAUCAGUGGGGAUAACACUUGGAAACAGUUGCUCAACCGAUACUGAUGGAUGGACCCGGGGUGCAUUAGGUAGUUGGUGAGGUACAGGCUCACCAAGGCCACGAUGCAUAGCCGCACUGAGCGGAUGACACGCCAAACGGGAACUAAGGCACGGCCCAGACUACUACGGGAGGCAGCAGUGGGGAAUCUUAAGCAAUGGGCGAAAGUCUGACCGAGCCACGCCGCGGCAGUGAAGAAGGUUUUCGGAUCGUAAAACUCUGUUGUUGGAGAGGCGGUAUCUACCCAGAAAGCCACGGCUAACUACGUGCCAGCCGCCGCGGUAAUAC